rnacentral:lncRNA from 1 species
GCCCGGCCUACUAUUCUUAUUCUUGGUAAAUUGUUCUUAUUGCAGAUAUGUCUGUUCUUUAUAUCUAAGUUAAACAGCUUUUGGAAAACAGAAGACAUUCACCAGAUUGGAAUCAAGGAUACACCUUUUCAUGUAAGUGAAAUCAAAGAAGAUGAUUAAAAUAUCAGUGCCAAGGACAUAAGAAGACAGCACAUGAAGAUAUCUUCAAGAAGACAGCGUGGAAGAUGUAGCUUUGGUAAUUUAAAGAAAGUGGAAGACACAGAAACAGUUACGCGGUAAGUGCUGGUGUGAGGUAAUCAGGUAUGUACAGCCACUACUGAGAAGCAGUAAGAGCCCGUGGGAGACCAGGAGCACGGAUGUACAUUGUAUUUCUAUAAGACUUUGCUAUAGUAGUGAGAGUAGGGCUUCAAAUUUUAACAAGGACUAAUCGCAGAGGAUUUAAAAAUGCAGGCUGGGAAAUAUGAUCUACAUUUGAUAAAAAACCAAGACAUAGGUUAGUGCUUUUACAAAUGGAAAUAAUCUGGUGAUGAUGCUUUCUUAGGAAGAUUAAAUCUGAUUAGACUGUGUAGAAUGAGCUUGUAUAAGAGAGAAUACUGGAUCCAGAGAGAUGGCAAACAAUUUAUCAUAUCACUUCUACAUGCUGAGAUGAGGAUUUGGAUGGGAUGGAGACGAGAAAUGAAGACACAUAAAUAAUAUAUUCCUACACCAGUCAUAGAGAAAUCAUAUCCUAACCACCCAACCAAUUUUCUUUAGUCAUAACUAGGAAAGAUCAACCAAGAUCACUAAAUCGUUAGAAAAAAAAAAUCAAUAGUAGAGAAACAGACUGCUACACAAAAAGGAAUGAUUCAGGUAAUACCAAUAACAUAUUAAAAAACCUCUAAGAGAAUCCCUGUAAUUAGUAUUUUCAGAGAGAUUUGAGAAAAUAUUACAUUUGUAAAACAUGAACAUGGUACUAGGGAAAACCAGGCAGAGAACACCGUCCAUGUAUUAGGUUGUUCUCGCAUUGCUAUAAAGAAAUACCCGAGACUGGGUAAUUUAUAAAGAAGAGAGGUUUAACUGGCUUAUGGUUCUGCAGGUUAUACAGGAAGCAUGGUAUAGGCAUCUGCUCAGGGAGGCCUUAGGAAGCUUACAAUCAUGGUGGAAAGUGAAGGGGGAGCAGGCACAUCACAUGAUGAAAGCAGGAGUGAGUGAGAGAGAGAAGGGGGUAGGUGGAGGUGCCACACACUUUUAAACGAUCAGAACUCAGAAGAACUCACUCACUAUCACCAAGGCAUCACCAAGCCUGAGGGAUCCAUUCCCAUGACCCAGAAACCUCCCACCAGGUCCCAACUCUGGCAUUUGAGAUUACAAUUCGACAUGAGAUUUGGACAGGGACACAUAUUCAAUCUAUGUCAGUGCAUAUUCUUCACCUUCUCUCCUGUUCAGGGAUGAACUCUUAGCUAAAGUCUAGCCCUUCUGUUCAAAGAUGAACUCAUAGCUAAAAAAUGCAAGACAUCCCGUUAAGGGAUGAACUCUUAGCUAAAGUCUAAGCCCAGUCUUUCCUCCGAGCCCUGGAUCCCAUCCCUUCUCAUCAGUUCAAGGCUAUCACCGCUAGAACUGUCUCUCCUCAGGUAUCAAUAAUAUUUCCUCUACUGAAUCAUUUCUAUCAGCUUCCAAUAUAAUGUUCAAAUAUCUCCCAAUACAAUUAUUUUAAAAAAAUCCCUCUCUGGCUUUCUUUGUUUUCUUUUAUAGCAAUUAUUGAAUUUUUAAUACAUAACUUUGCUCACUUUCUUCAAUUCUCGUUCUCCUUUUUGUUCUUGAACCCACUGAAAAUAAGCAGAUGCUCCCACAAAAACUUGCCUAAACAAGCUGGCCUGUUGGCCUCCUGUUAUCAAAUGUCAGUUUUCUUCUGGUCUACUUGGGUCUAUGCAUAGCAUUUGAGACAUUUGAUCUUACUUUCCUUUCAGAAACAGCUUUUUCACCCAGCUUCUAGGAUUCCACUCUGAUUCUUUUCUCUUAUUAGUUCAUUCCACCCCUUAGUUGGUUUACUGUUUUAUUUUAUGCUUCCCUCCUGUAGAAAGUAGGUCCUUUGGAGAAAA